GACGAAUGCUGGCUGCGUGCUUAACACAUGCAAGUCGAACGGUGAAAGGGAGCUUGCUCCCUGGAUCAGUGGCGAACGGGUGAGUAACACGUGGGCAACCUGCCCCUCACUCUGGGAUAACUCCGGGAAACCGGGGCUAAUACCGGAUACGACCUGGUGCGACAUCGCACCGGGUGGAAAGAACUUCGGUGAGGGAUGGGCCCGCGGCCUAUCAGCUUGUUGGUGGGGUAACGGCCUACCAAGGCGACGACGGGUAGCCGGCCUGAGAGGGCGACCGGCCACACUGGGACUGAGACACGGCCCAGACUCCUACGGGAGGCAGCAGUGGGGAAUAUUGCGCAAUGGGCGAAAGCCUGGCGCAGCGACGCAGCGUGAGGGACGAAGGCCUUCGGGUUGUAAACCUCUUUCAGCGGGGACGAAGCGAAAGUGACGGUACCCGCAGAAGAAGCACCGGCUAACUACGUGCCAGCCGCCGCAGUAACAC
rnacentral:rRNA from 1 species